rnacentral:rRNA from 1 species
UGACGAGUUUGAUCCUGGCUCAGGAUGAACGCUAGCGGCAGGCUUAACACAUGCAAGUCGAGGGGUAGAAGUUGCUUGCAACUUUGAGACCGGCGCACGGGUGCGUAACGCGUAUGCAAUCUACCUUAUACAGAGGGAUAGCCCAGAGAAAUUUGGAUUAAUACCUCAUAGUGUUAUUGAAUGGCAUCAUUUACUAACUAAAGUUCCAACGGUAUAAGAUGAGCAUGCGUCCUAUUAGCUAGAUGGUAAGGUAACGGCUUACCAUGGCUACGAUAGGUAGGGGAACUGAGAGGUCCAAUCCCCCGACACUGGCACUGAGACUACGGG